UGCGUAGGUGGCGGGGUAAGUUUGAUGUGAAAGCUCAGGGCUUAACCCUGAAAUGGCAUUGAAUACUACUCUGCUGGAGGUUUGGAGGGGGGACUGGAAUUCUUGGUGUAGCAGUGAAAUGCGUAGAUAUCAAGAGGAACACCAGUGGCGAAGGCGAGUCCCUGGACAACACCUGACACUGAGGCACGAAAGCUAGGGAGCAAACA
rnacentral:rRNA from 1 species